AACAUCGCGCACCUGCGGGAACCUGCGGAAGGAUCAUUACUGAGACUUAAUCUCAACCCUUGUGAACUAUACCUAGUGUUGCUUCGGCAGGUUUUCCCUGGGAGGGAAGCAGCCUUCGGGCAGCCUGCCAGAGGCAAUUAACUCUUAUUUUUAAUGAAUUCUGAGUACUUUUCAAUAAGAAAAAACUUUUAACAACGGAUCU
rnacentral:misc_RNA from 1 species